rnacentral:lncRNA from 1 species
CAUUCACGUGCACUGGAUGCAAUGAUGAGAGAGCAGUUUGUAUAGUAAGGCAAAUGUUUGAAACCAAGUUAUAAGUUAAUGUAUGCAGUUAAGGCAUUCGGUUGCGAAAGGCAUGGUUGAGUGACGCAUUCUGGACUUUCAAACUUGUAGGUAUUGGGUAGUGUUGUCGGUCUCACGCAGCACAAAUUCAGCAAUUUUUGUGGCCUUCGAUGAUCCAAUAACCAAGCUAACCAGCGUGCAUCUGAGGUUACUCAACUAAUGGUAUGAACAUUAUAAUUAAAUUGAGGAAACCUGGUUUUCUGUUAAGAACCUGACUUAAACAUUCUUAAAUGUCAUUUAGACUAGACGCAGCUGGAGAAGGUCAGCGGAGUGCCUCAAAGAUAUUGCUGGGAGGACUUCAACUUUCCAGCUUAAGAUAUCUCAUUUCAACUUCACC